rnacentral:rRNA from 1 species
UACCAGCACCCCGAGUGGUCGGGACGUUUAUUGGGCCUAAAGCAUCCGUAGCCGGUUCUACAAGUCUUCCGUUAAAUCCAACUGCUUAACAGGUGGGCUGCGGAAGAUACUAUAGAGCUAGGAGGCGGGAGAGGCAAGCGGUACUCGAUGGGUAGGGGUAAAAUCCGUUGAUCCAUUGAAGACCACCAGUGGCGAAGGCGGCUUGCCAGAAUGCGCUCGACGGUGAGGGAUGAAAGCUGGGGGAGCAAACAGG